CAGCCUGAUGCGCCAUGCCGCGUGUGUGAAGAAGGCCUUCGGGUUGUAAAGCACUUUCAGUCGUGAGGAAGGUAGUGUAGUUAAUAGCUGCAUUAUUUGACGUUAGCGACAGAAGAAGCACCGGCUAACUCCGUGCCAGCAGCCGCGGUAAUACGGAGGGUGCGAGCGUUAAUCGGAAUUACUGGGCGUAAAGCGCAUGCAGGUGGUUUGUUAAGUCAGAUGUGAAAGCCCGGGGCUCAACCUCGGAAUAGCAUUUGAAACUGGCAGACUAGAGUACUGUAGAGGGGGGUAGAAUUUCAGGUGUAGCGGUGAAAUGCGUAGAGAUCUGAAGGAAUACCGGUGGCGAAGGCGGCCCCCUGGACAGAUACUGACACUCAGAUGCGAAAGCGUGGGGAGCAAACAGGAUUAGAUACCCUGGUAGUCCACGCCGUAAACGAUGUCUACUUGGAGGUUGUGGCCUUGAGCCGUGGCUUUCGGAGCUAACGCGUUAAGUAGACCGCCUGGGGAGUACGGUCGCAAGAUUAAAACUCAAAUGAAUUGACGGGGGCCCGCACAAGCGGUGGAGCAUGUGGUUUAAUUCGAUGCAACGCGAAGAACCUUACCUACUCUUGACAUCCAGAGAACUUUCCAGAGAUGGAUUGGUGCCUUCGGGAACUCUGAGACAGGUGCUGCAUGGCUGUCGUCAGCUCGUGUUGUGAAAUGUUGGGUUAAGUCCCGCAACGAGCGCAACCCUUAUCCUUGUUUGCCAGCGAGUAAUGUCGGGAACUCCAGGGAGACUGCCGGUGAUAAACCGGAGGAAGGUGGGGACGACGUCAAGUCAUCAUGGCCCUUACGAGUAGGGCUACACACGUGCUACAAUGGCGCAUACAGAGGGCAGCAAGCUAGCGAUAGUGAGCGAAUCCCAAAAAGUGCGUCGUAGUCCGGAUUGGAGUCUGCAACUCGACUCCAUGAAGUCGGAAUCGCUAGUAAUCGUGGAUCAGAAUGCCACGGUGAAUACGUUCCCGGGCCUUGUACACACCGCCCGUCACACCAUGGGAAGUGGGCUGCAAAAGAAGUAGGUAGUUUAACCUUCGGGAGGACGCUUACCACUUUGUGGUUCAUGACUGGGGUGAUCG
rnacentral:rRNA from 1 species